rnacentral:rRNA from 1 species
GGGAUGAGCUUGCGUCCGAUUAGCUAGUUGGCGGGGCAACGGCCCACCAAGGCGACGAUCGGUAGCCGGCCUGAGAGGGCGAUCGGCCACAUUGGGACUGAGAUACGGCCCAGACUCCUACGGGAGGCAGCAGUAGGGAAUAUUGCACAAUGGGGGGAACCCUGAUGCAGCAACGCCACGUGUGGGAAGAAGCAUUUCGGUGUGUAAACCACUGUCGUGAGGGAAUAAGGCUUAUUUUCGGAUAAGUUGAAUGUACUUUGAAAGGAAGCACCGGCAAACUUCGUGCCAGCAGCCGCGGUAAUACGAGGGGUGCAAGCGUUGUUCGGAAUCACUGGGCGUAAAGGGAGCGCAGGCGGAGAUGCAAGCGGACUGUACAAUCCCGGGGCCCAACCCCGGACCUGCAGUCCGGACUGCACCUCUUGGAUAGUUCAGGGGCAAGCGGAAUUCCUGGUGUAGCGGUGGAAUGCGUAGAGAUCAGGAAGAACACCGAUGGCGAAGGCAGCUUGCUGGGGACUUAUCGACGCUCAUGCUCGAAAGUGCGGGUAGCAAACAGGAUUAGAUACCCUGGUAGUCC